UGGGGAAUAUUGCGCAAUGGGCGAAAGCCUGACGCAGCGACGCCGCGUGUGGGAUGAAGGUCUUCGGAUUGUAAACCACUGUCGCGAGGGACGAAAAUCUGACGGUACCUCGAAAGGAAGCACCGGCUAACUCUGUGCCAGCAGCCGCGGUAAUACAGAGGGUGCGAGCGUUGUCCGGAAUCACUGGGCGUAAAGGGCGCGUAGGCGGCCGGAUAAGUAGGAGGUGAAAUCUCACAGCUUAACUGUGAGGCUGCCUUCUAGACUGUCUGGCUUGAGCACGGUAGAGGCUGGUGGAAUUCCCGGUGUAGCGGUGGAAUGCGUAGAGAUCGGGAAGAACAUCGGUGGCGAAGGCGGCCAGCUGGGCCGUUGCUGACGCUGAUGCGCGAAAGCGUGGGGAGCAAACAG
rnacentral:rRNA from 1 species